UGAGCGGCUCGCAAGGGCCGUUGACCACCGUGCAGGAGUCAGCAGAGGGCAUAUUAGGGCGGCGACGCCUGAAGGCC
rnacentral:ncRNA from 1 species